GCGUGCCUAAUACAUGCAAGUCGAGCGAAUGGAUUGAGAGCUUGCUCUCAAGAAGUUAGCGGCGGACGGGUGAGUAACACGUGGGUAACCUGCCCAUAAGACUGGGAUAACUCCGGGAAACCGGGGCUAAUACCGGAUAACAUUUUGAACUGCAUGGUUCGAAAUUGAAAGGCGGCUUCGGCUGUCACUUAUGGAUGGACCCGCGUCGCAUUAGCUAGUUGGUGAGGUAACGGCUCACCAAGGCAACGAUGCGUAGCCGACCUGAGAGGGUGAUCGGCCACACUGGGACUGAGACACGGCCCAGACUCCUACGGGAGGCAGCAGUAGGGAAUCUUCCGCAAUGGACGAAAGUCUGACGGAGCAACGCCGCGUGAGUGAUGAAGGCUUUCGGGUCGUAAAACUCUGUUGUUAGGGAAGAACAAGUGCUAGUUGAAUAAGCUGGCACCUUGACGGUACCUAACCAGAAAGCCACGGCUAACUACGUGCCAGCAGCCGCGGUAAUACGUAGGUGGCAAGCGUUAUCCNGAAUUAUUGGGCGUAAAGCGCGCCCAGGUGGUUUCUUAAGUCUGAUGUGAAAGCCCCCGGCUCAACCCGUGGAGGGUCAUUGGAAACUGGAGACUUUGAGUGCAGAAGAGGAAAGUGGAAUUCCAUGUGUAGCGGUAAAUGCGUAGAGAUUUGGAGGAACACCAGUGGCGAAGGCGACUUUCUGGUCUUUAACUGACACUGAGGCGCGAAGCGGGGGGGAGCAAACAGGAUAGAUCCCCUGGUAGUCCACGCCG
rnacentral:rRNA from 1 species